AGUGAACGCUGGCGGUAGGCCUAACACAUGCAAGUCGAACGGCAGCACAGUAAGAGCUUGCUCUUACGGGUGGCGAGUGGCGGACGGGUGAGGAAUACAUCGGAAUCUACUUUUUCGUGGGGGAUAACGUAGGGAAACUUACGCUAAUACCGCAUACGACCUACGGGUGAAAGCAGGGGAUCUUCGGACCUUGCGCGAUUGAAUGAGCCGAUGUCGGAUUAGCUAGUUGGCGGGUAAAGGCCCACCAAGGCGACGAUCCGUAGCUGGUCUGAGAGGAUGAUCAGCCACACUGGAACUGAGACACGGUCCAGACUCCUACGGGAGGCAGCAGUGGGGAAUAUUGGACAAUGGGCGCAAGCCUGAUCCAGCCGUACCGCGUGGGUGAAGAAGGCCUUCGGGUUGUAAAGCCCUUUUGUUGGGAAAGAAAAGCAGCAGGUUAAUACCCCGCUGUUCUGACGGUACCCAAAGAAUAAGCACCGGCUAACUUCGUG
rnacentral:rRNA from 1 species